UGAAGCCUGACUUAACCCGGAGAGGAAGCAGUGGCUAACUCUGUGCCAGCAGCCGCGGUAAUACAGAGACUGCAAGCGUUAUUCGGAUUCACUGGGCGUAAAGGGUGCGCAGGCGGUUGCGUGUGUUAGGUGUGAAAGCCCGAGGCUCAACCUCGGAAUUGCGCCUGAAACUACGUGACUAGAGCAUUGGAGAGGGUAGCGGAAUUCAUGGUGUAGCAGUGAAAUGCGUAGAUAUCAUGAGGAACACCAGAGGCGAAGGCGGCUACCUGGACAAUUGCUGACGCUCAGGCACGAAAGCGUGGGGAGCAAAAGGGAUUAGAUACCCGCGUAGUCC
rnacentral:rRNA from 1 species